rnacentral:vault_RNA from 1 species
GGGCUGGCUUCAGCUCAGCGGUUCCUUCGACUAAAUCACAGUUCAAGCACCCUUUCCGGGGUGGUUCAACACCCGCGGGCACUCCCCGGUCCUUUA